rnacentral:tRNA from 1 species
GAUCCUGUAGCUCAGCCUGGUUUAGAGCACCGCUCUUAUAAGGCGGGGGUCCUGGGUUCAAAUCCCAGCAGGAUCA